rnacentral:antisense_RNA from 1 species
UGUGGGAGCGAGCCUGCUCGCGAAGGCGUCGGGCCAGUCAACAUCAAAGAUGAAUGACCCACCGCUUUCGCGAGCAGGCUCGCUCCCACA